UCAUCCGAAAGGGGAUUGAUUGAGGGCUUAAACAGACACGCAGCCGGGCCAGACGCUCAAUUAAUGUGCAUAAACGGGCAGUGAAGAAGCAAUUUUCGGACCCAAGAUUGUUGUUCCUUCCCUGCUCAAGAUUGGCUGUGCAGGAAUAGACGUGCACCUCAGCAGCAGGGUUAUGUCAACAUGGGGGAGUGGAUGAUCUCUUUUAAACCAAGACCUGGUAACCUCUGCAGCAGUGCCAUUGUGCCUGAAGCAGGACCAAGCUGCUGAGUACUUGACUUUAUGGUCUGCUCCUCCACCAUGUGGCUCUUAGGAUUUAUCCAGCGCCCUUCCAACCACUGCGACUGCAUCGCUGACCAGGACAUCAGGCAGCCCCUUGGACACCAUCUCCUGCAGAACUAUUCGACACAGCUGCUGCUCAUCUGCGUCCAGCCAGGUGAGAACAGUUUCCCUGCAUGGGCUGCAGCACCCUGCACCCGCACCCUGCCAGCAGGGCCCCGAUGGCACCAACGAGGCAGACCAAGGGUUCAGAUCCACGCCGUGACUGACAUGAAAACUUCCCAGCAUUGGAGGCUGAAAGAGACAAACAAGCAAUUUACCAGGAAAUUAUCCUUUGGGAUUCCUCCUCUCUCCAGUCAAUUUAAUUGGGCUGAUCUCCAACGUGGUUCCCAGCCUGCCACCUGCGAGCAUCGCUCCCCGCUGCUCCAUCCUCUGCCGAAACAGCUCCCUGCGCUCCUGAGGCCACGCCAAGGUGCUCCUCCCAUUAAUCACCCCCUCCGAUCGCUGUCUGCUGAGGAAUUAAACCCAUUUGUCACUGCUGCCCUGCUCCCACCCACCCCUCUCCCAGCACACUCCGGAGAGCUGGCUGGCUGCUCACGCCUGCCCCGAUGUCUCUGUGUCCCCACGUCCUCGGGCACGAUCCUGUCUCCAUCUGCUUGCAAACAUCCCAGGGCGUACACGGAGCCAUUUCUUCUGGUCUGCCCCACUCCAGCCCCAUCCUGAGCUGGGACCCCCCAGAACUGGCUGCGGGGGCUCACUGGUGCCUAUCUCUACAGCCCACCCCUCCGUCCCCCAGCAGCUCAGCUCCCCACACCGCACAAAAAAAAACUCAUCCAGGAACAUCUCUCGCAGAGCAACAGGCUCAUCCUCACCCUCCUCCACCCCCAGCUCGGCGCUGCCUCGCCACGCUCCCUAAAACCGCUCUGGCUGGCAGCACGGCCCCUGGGAACGUUCCCCUGGCAGCGAGCAAGAGCUGCUCGUUAAUUAGCCUCCCGUUACUCCUGAGCAUCCCCUGCAAUAACACACAGUUCCUGCCUUUUAACUACCUACAAGUAAUCACUCAACCUCCAAUAAAAAGGGAAGGAACAAGCCCCUGGUCGUGUCG
rnacentral:lncRNA from 1 species